CUGGUGACAAUGUAGCAAUGCCAUACACUCGUUCCCAUUCCGAACACGCCAGUGAAAUCAUUGCUGACCGAUGAUAGUGCAUCGAAAGGUUGCGCAAAAGUAGGUUGUCGCCAGUUU
rnacentral:rRNA from 1 species